UACGGAGGGAGCUAGCGUUGUUCGGAAUUACUGGGCGUAAAGCGCACGUAGGCGGCUUUGUAAGUUAGAGGUGAAAGCCCGGGGCUCAACUCCGGAACUGCCUUUAAGACUGCAUCGCUUGAAUCCAGGAGAGGUGAGUGGAAUUCCGAGUGUAGAGGUGAAAUUCGUAGAUAUUCGGAAUAACACCAGUGGCGAAGGCGGCUCACUGGACUGGUAUUGACGCUGAGGUGCGAAAGCGUGGGGAGCAAACAGG
rnacentral:rRNA from 1 species